ACGGGUGAGUAAUACAUAUGAACUUUCUCUAAGCAGAGGAUAGCCAGUCGAAAGAUUGGGUAAUACUCUAUGUGGCCGAAAGGUUAAGUUUAAUACACUUAGAGUGAGGCAUAUGCCCCAUCAGCUAGUUGGUAAGGUAAUGGCUUACAAGGGCUAAGACGGGUAGCUGGACUGAGAGGUUGAUCAGCCACACUGGGACUGCGACACGGCCCAGACAUCUACGGAUGGCAGCAGUAGGGAAUUUUCCGCAAUGGGCGAAAGCCUGACGGAGCCAUGCCGCGUGCAGGAUGACGGCCCUAUGGGUUGUAAACUGCUGUGGUAGCCUACCAAAAAAAUGAGGAGGCUAUUAGAAAGAGGUUGCUAACUCUGUGCCAGCAGCAGCGGUAAUACAGAGACCUCGAGCGUUAUCCGGUAUCACUGGGCGUAAAGCGUACCGAUCGGUUGUUUAGUGUGUCUAAAGUGAAAGACCGAAGCCUAACUUCGUGUAUGCUUUGGAAACUACUAAACUUGAAGGGCAAAGAGGUGGUUGGAACUCUGCAAGUAGGGGUGAAAUCCGU
rnacentral:rRNA from 1 species